UUACAAUGAGGAGAAGUCAGUGGCAUUCGUUUAUGUGCCUUGUCUAUGGCUUCUGUUUAGUGAUGCUAGUCGUUUCAGCACCCAUGCAACAGGACUUGGUCAGUGAAUUGCUGAAAGGAAAAAUACUCAGUUAGUAAAUCAGGCAACAGCAAAUAAUGGUCAUGAAGAUGACAAAGCCUCUCCACACUACACUACCCUGUCUGACAUUAAAAGCCUGUUUCUGCUCAUUUGAUCCUCACUCCUGGGCAUAUAAUUAAAUUGGUAGGCAGGAAGUUGUCUCCUCCGUUUUCACUUUCACUCGACUUCAACACCUUGUUUGGAUAGAGGAUACUUCACCAAAAAAGGGAAGGAGACAUUUAACUUGCAAGAAAAUUUGGUGCAGAAGUAGUUGAUUGACGAUUCUGGAUCUGAAAAAUGUGUGACGAAAAUAUUUGGAGAGGAAAAACAAUAUCCCAAUCAUCACUUAAUCUUUCUUCUGAAUACUUGGGCUAAAAGAAAUAAGUCCCUUGCUGACAAAAUAUUGUCUACUCUGCUACCUCUAGAUAUCACUCAUAUCAGCCUAUGCAGAGAAGUAUAACAGCAAAGUUAAUGAUAUUUUAACAUUCAUUGAACAGUAAGACAUUACUUUCGUCAUCUGCUUUGAACAUGUGUUUAUACCUGUGAUCUAUUCAUUCUUGUCCUAUAAAGUUAAACCUGUCCUUUUCCCUGUAGGAUUUGAUGCCCAUUUGAUGUUUAACCUGUUAAGGAUAUACUGCCCAAUGAGGAAAUGGUGAUUGUUAAGCUGAAAACUGCUGCUGUACUUGGUGUCAAUUUUAAUGUAUUGUGUGUAAAACCAUUUGUGUGCAGUUAUAUUUAUUUGCCAUGUCUCUCCGAUAAUUUGAUUUUACAUGUUUUAGGAGUGAAACUAUCAAUAUUUGCUGUACAAGUGGUCAUAGAAUAAAAUUAUGAAUAUUUGUUUAA